GAGGAAUAUUGCACAAUGGAGGAAACUCUGAUGCAGCAACGCCGCGUGGAGGAUGACGCAUUUCGGUGUGUAAACUCCUUUUAUUAGGGAAGAUUAUGACGGUACCUAAUGAAUAAGCACCGGCUAACUCCGUGCCAGCAGCCGCGGUAAUACGGAGGGUGCAAGCGUUACUCGGAAUCACUGGGCGUAAAGGGUGCGUAGGCUGGCUUUUAAGUCAGAUGUGAAAUCCAAUGGCUCAACCAUUGAACUGCAUUUGAAACUGAAGGCCUAGAGUUCAGAAGGGGCAGAUGGAAUUAGUGGUGUAGGGGUAAAAUCCGUAGAUAUCACUAGGAAUAUCAAAAGCGAAGGCGAUCUGCUGGGAUGAUACUGACGCUGAGGCACGAAAGCGUGGGGAGCAAAC
rnacentral:rRNA from 1 species